GACGAACGCUGGCGGCGUGCUUAACACAUGCAAGUCGAACGGAAAGGCCCUGCCUUUGUGGGGUGCUCGAGUGGCGAACGGGUGAGUAACACGUGAGUAACCUGCCCUUGACUUUGGGAUAACUUCAGGAAACUGGGGCUAAUACCGGAUAGGAUCUCCUGCUGCAUGGGGGGGGUGGGAAAGUUUCGGCGGUUGGGGAUGGACUGGCGGCUUAUCAGCUUGUUGGUGGGGUAGUGGCUUACCAGGGCUUUGACGGGUAGCCGGCCUGAGAGGGUGACCGGCCACAUUGGGACUGAGAUACGGCCCAGACGCCUACGGGAGGCAGCAGUGGGGACUAUUGCACAGUGGGCGGAAGCCUGAUGCAGCAACGCCGCGUGCGGGAUGACGGCCUUCGGGUUGUAAACCGCGUUCGCCUGUGACGAAGCGUGAGUGACGGUAAUGGGUAAAGAAGCACCGGCUAACUACGUG
rnacentral:rRNA from 1 species